AUGCGGCACCUGACCGCGACAAGCCGGCGUCGUCGCCUCGGCGCGACCAGGACGUGCGCCUCCUGGGCGGGCUGCUCUCCCCGGCCUUCGACGACCAGUCGUGCCGUUCGCGGUACGCGUCGCCGUCCCUCUACCGCCGUCCGUCGCCGUUCCGCCCCGUCGUCCCACCUCGUGGCGCGCCUCCGGCGGUACGAGGCCUGGCACAGGCGGUGUGGCCCCGGAUCGCCGCUCUUCGGGGAAGCCGUCGAGCACCUGCGCUCCGGCCGCAACGCCGCGCGCUCCGAGUGCCAGUACGCGGUGUGGACGCCCUUCAACGGCCUCGGCAACCGCAUGCUCGCGCUCGCCUCCACGCUCCUGUACGCGCUGCUCACCGACCGAGUCCUGCUGGUGCACGCGCCGCAGGAGUUCGACGGCCUCUUCUGCGAGCCCUUCCCCGGCAGCUCCUGGACGCUGCCCGCCGGCUUUCCGAUCGCCGACUUCGACGCCACCUUCACCAUGUUGUCGCCCACGAGCUACAAGAACAUGAAGAAGGCCGGCACGAUAAACGGCGGUGACCGUGUCAACGUUACCGCCGAGGGGCUCCCCGCGUACGUGUUCCUCGACCUCAUCCAGUCCUACACCGACGCCGCCUUCUGCGAAGCCGACCAGCGCGUGCUCGCCAAGUUCAACUGGAUGGUGGUCAAGUCCGACGUCUACUUCGCCACCGCGCUCUUCCUCAUGCCGGCGUACCGGCGCGAGCUCGCACGGCUAUUCCCGGAGAAGGAGGCCGCGUUCCACCACCUCGCGCGGUACCUCUUCCACCCGUCCAACGACGUGUGGGGCAUCGUCCGUGAAUUCUACGAGGCCUACCUCGCCGGGGCAGACGAGUGCGUCGGCCUGCAGGUGCGCGUGUUCCAGGAGGUGCCGGUGCCGUUCGAGACCAUGUACGGCCAGAUCAUGCGCUGCUCGGAGCAGGAGGGUUUGCUACCCAAGGUCGCACUCGCACAGCAGAAUGCCGCCGCGGCGAGAAACACCUCUGCCGUGCCGCCGCCGGACGGCAGGAAGACGAAGGUGACAUCGAUACUGGUGACGUCGCUGUCCCCGGAGUACUACGAGCGCAUCCGCGGCGUGUACCACGCCAACUGGACGGAGACCGGGGAUUACGUGGUGGUGCACCAGCCGAGCCACGACGGCGUGCAGCACACGGAGGCGCGCGGCCACAACCAGAGGGCGCUGGCGGAGAUAUACCUGCUGAGCUUCUGCGACCGCAUCGUGACGACGGCCGUGUCGACGUUCGGGUACGUGGCGCACGGGCUGGCCGGGGUGAGGUCGUGGGUGCUGCUGCGGUCGCCGUCGCCAGAGACGCGGGCCGAGCCCGCGUGCGUCCGGUCGUCGACCGUGGAGCCCUGCAUGCAGGCCGCGCCGAGACAGAUGUGCGGUGCGGCGAAAGGGAGCGACAUUGGAGGUCUCGCGCCGUAUGUCCGGCACUGCGAGGAUGUGCAUGGAGGCGUCAAGCUAUUUAGCUAG
rnacentral:rRNA from 1 species